rnacentral:lncRNA from 1 species
UACUCACUCCACAAGCUUCACUGCAUUUGUUAAUGUAGUUUAAUUUUUUAUUUGAUGACUCCAAAUGUUUGCGCAACAUUAUAAACAAUUUCACAAGAUUGACUUCGUAAAGGUCUACCUGAGAUGGAUGUAAAAAUUUCAGAAUUUUGGGCUGACAUAUUCGAGAUGAAACAAGUAGUAUAUGCAGUGCAUACGUGUGUAGUGAUCGAGAAGAGUCCCUUCAGACACCCCUGCAUAGGAGAGUCUAUUAACAUCUGCAAUGUUGAAGCUCCCUCUAGCAGGUUCUUUUCUACAUUGUACUACUAUAGUUCUGGCAGUCAUGUGCACUGUUUAACAUCAUUUGCAGAAAAAUUUCUGU